rnacentral:rRNA from 1 species
GACGUAGGGCGCGAGCGUUGUCCGGAUUUAUUGGGCGUAAAGAGCUCGUAGGCGGUUUGUCGCGUCUGCCGUGAAAGUCCGGGGCUCAACUCCGGAUCUGCGGUGGGUACGGGCAGACUAGAGUGUGGUAGGGGAGACUGGAAUUCCUGGUGUAGCGGUGGAAUGCGCAGAUAUCAGGAGGAACACCGAUGGCGAAGGCAGGUCUCUGGGCCAUUACUGACACUGAGAAGCGAAAGCAUGGGGAGCGAACAGG